ensembl:lncRNA
GUCUAAGUUGAAAGUAAAAAUGCUGACAUGAUAAUCAAAGCCAAUCAUAUACUGUAUAAUGCAGGACCAGUAAAACUUCUAUGUGCCACAGAAAGUUACAGAAUAUGCAAAAUACGGUAUACUUCAUUCAUUGCUUGUGGUCGUGGCUGCUUAAUUGGACCAAAAUCUGGGCACUUUUGUUAAAAAUGGAUGAGACCUUUUACUUAUGUAUUUUUUUUAUUAUUAUUAUUAUUAUUUUUAAGUUGAGAUUAAAUAUAUUUUCAGUGUGGUUUAGACUUGUGGACCCCACUGUAAAAUAUUAAAAGUGUCUGAUAAUAUGAUAUUACUGAGAUAAAGUGAGUAGCGCUGUUUUUGGCUGGUCAUGUGAUUUGUCUGUCCAUGCUGGAAGAAAAAGUAUAUUGUGUCAUGAUGUGACACAAUCACAGCCAAUCAGAAUAUAUUUGAUGUAUUAUAUAUGUGGGGCAGAAUUUUGCACUAAGAAAUAUUUCUUCUUAGCUAAAUGCUACAGAAAGUGCUUGUGGUUGUGGCUGAUUAAUACUAAAAAAAAUCUCUUUUUUCUCUUUUUCCCCUCAUUUGCUCUCUGAAUUGGAUCGGUUCAAAUUGAACUGGUGGACAAAUAGGUCCCAAAGCUUCUCACAUGUGACCACAAGCUCGGGCAUGUCAGCUGCUUCUGCUCUCCUCUCUGGAUGACAGAUACAUCAGGUCUGGGUUCAGCUGCAGGGCCUCAGGAGAGUGAGAGGAAGCUGCUCUCAUCCUGGCCCAGCGUUGAGAAGUGUAGUGCAGGGAGAGUUUCCAGCUCCACUGGGAAGCGGCUGGUGGCUCUGCCCUGCGCUCUGGCCAUGCGAGAAGCUGUUGUCUCAGACCUCUUUGAACCUCUCAAACUGAAGCCCUCUAGAACACCUAAACAUUUUCCAUUGUCCGGUAACAUUUCCUUUGGUCUCUUCUCUGUGUCUGUUUCUUGUCUAGUCAGAGGAAGAUGGUAUAAGAGGAAUUCAGAAGGCCAAGGACAAGAUAAAAAAACGAACUCAGGCGAUAACGCUCAGACUACAAAUGGCCAGCCUGUGGGUUUGUGGGGCCUCAAGUCAGAUCAUCGAAAGAAUGGCCAUAACAUAAUAACAUCUAUAGAACCUCUGCAAUGUCUUUAACCAGUCCAACUCUUGGCAGGUGCAGAACACUAAAGGACCAUUUUAUUUCUAAAUUAGUCUGAAAGGCGCACCACAAAGACUGGAAAUGCUGCUGCCCUUUCAUUUUAAAUGGUACGUUGGCAUUUAACACUACACAUGUCAGCAGAACUUCACUCUCCGUUUAUGGCUUCUUAAUGUAUGUGUAUUUGUUCACUGCCACUUAUGAUAUUAGCUGUUGUCAUCUGCAGUGGAAAAGGACAUUGCAGAUAUGAAAAAGCAUUCUUGUGAUCAUAAAUGAAUUUGUAAACUACAUUCAUAAACUCCCACCUUUUUAUAUAGCCUCCUCCACUUUCCAGUAGCACAAAAUAAUCGACUUUUACACACAGAAAAAAAAAAAAACUUAUAUAGAAAAAACUAUAGCACAUUACUGUAAUUGUUUUUCAUUUCCCCUCUUCCUUUCCUUUAAUCUUUUUUUUUCUUUUACAAAAAGGUGACUGAUGUCACCUCUCUCCACUUGUCAAGUGUAAGAUGCUUUUAAAAUAAUAAAAAAAAAUGUAUAUUUAAUCA